GACCUGGCCUGCAACCCUGGUAUGUGCUCUGAUUGGGAAUUGAACCAGUGACCCUUUGGUUUGCAGGCCGGCACUCAAUCCGCUGAGCCACACCAAUAGGGGUGGUAUAGGUGGUUUUAAAAGAUCCCAGGUUCAGCAGUGUUUGGGAACCACUGAUUUAGGCUCUUGAUAAUCAAAAUGUUGUUUGAAAGCUAGCUUUUUCAAAUGCAGAAUCUUGUUCUUGUACUCCAGGACUACUGAGUCAGAAUCUUAAUUUAGCAAAAUUCCCAGGUAAUUUGUAUACACAUUAAAGUUUGAGAAGCAUUGAUGUAGAGUGAGGAAAAAGAUUUGUUCUAUCUAUCUAUCUGUCUAUCUUCUAUCUAUCAGUCAUCACCUAUCAAUCAUUUCUCUCUUUCUCCUCUUUUUUCCCUCUCCUGACUGCUUAUUACAGUUUUGGGUUUUUUUGGUCCAGCUGUGCUCUCAUCAUCAGGCUGGCAUAUUAGAAACACCCAUAGAGCUUUUGAAGUGUAAAGAUGCUUAGGCCAUAUUUCUAGUCAUCCUAGUUUAAUUGGUUCUGGAGUGGAGCCUGGCAUCGGUAUUUUGAGAAAAGCUCCCCAGCUGAUGCUAAUGGAGAGCUAGAGUUAACCACUGGUCUAGCCCCUUACUGCUCAAGGUGUGCUCCACAGACCGCAUUGAGAGCAGCAUUGAGGCAGCAUUAACAUGACUUGGGAACUUGUUAGACAUGCAGAGUCUCAGGCCCCACCCUGCAGUUGCUGAAUCAAAACUGCAGUUCAUCAAGAUACGCUGGUCAUUUAUAUAUGCAUUACAAUUUAAGAAGCACUGGUCUAGAUCUUGGGGAAUGGAUUAUAUCUGAGAAUGACAUCAUUUCAGGCACCUCAGUAGAGAUUUGAUAGAAUCUAACUAAUCAAUAUGGAAGCUCCUGGAUAUUUAUUUAUGAUAUAGAUCUUCUUGUUGCUUUUGGACAGAAUGGAAAUGAUAAAAAAAAAUAGACAGCCCCAUGGUUAGAUUAGAAAACAAACUCACUUAUUAAAAUAUUUUAUUGAAUUUCUUGGGGCAACAUUGGUUAAUAAAAUUAUGUAGUGUUCAAACCCACUUUUAAAUAGCCUCUCUGCUCUUCUUCAAGCCGUUUACUUUAAACCCCUGAUUAUCUUUGAACACUUAUUUUCUAGGUCCCCUUCGAGCUCCUGACAGUGUCCUGACAGGCACCCUUGCAUGUCAGGUGGUGCGACAGGAGGCUUCCUAAUCAAGGCGCAUCUUAACAGAGUGGAUAUAGUUUUGCCCUGUGCCCAUUGUCAUGUGUCUCUGUUCAGCUCUCCUGAGAUUUGUUUGAUGUGGCCCUUACUCCAUAAAGUCUCCCCUGACCUCCCCACAUCUAAUCCAUAUUUUAUUGGCAUACUUGAUAUGACCUAAGUACUGAUUUGUCCCUUAUAUACUCCAUUUCUUACAAUCAGCAUUAUGAUUUUUGUGCUCCUUAUUUAAACAAAUAUUUAUUGAGCACCUGCUAUAUUCCCAGUGUGCUUAGUUCAGAGAACAGAAAACUGAGAUGUAAUCUCUGAUCUUAAAGAUUUCACUCUCAUAUCUCCACUAAUAGAUUGACUGUAUUGUGUGAAUAACAUUCUUGCAGCUACCCAUGAGCCUGCCUCAGAUAAAACAUUUUCAUGUUCCUUUGUAAAUGGGUACUCUAGGGGCUCCGAUUGAACAGCUUUCAUUAGUUUACUAUGCCAUGUUUGUGUAGCAGGAGACUGUAAAUUAGGAGAGGGAAGAUAAGUUUGGCUGGCAGGAGAGCUACAGAAACAUCGAUUUGAUUCCAGAGCAUAGAAGUCAGUAACGCGACCAGCUUUCUCUACAGAGAACUGCAUAUGUGUUUCCAAUGAAGAUUCAACCCUGUUCUGGGUUUCACACCAUCCACUGGAGUCCAGCCAGGGCCAUCAACUAAUACAUUUAAUGUAUAGAAAAGUAAUUUCCCUGAAAUCUGGAUGGUUUACCCUACGGGAGAGAAAGAACAUGUUUACGUAGUAACUCAUUUAAGGAACUGGGAAGUGAUUUUAAGAAAAACUACUUUGUGGUUAAAAACAACAACCAAAACACAGAGUUGAUCAUGGUGGUAUAAGUAUAAUAUAAUGCAGUAAAAUAGAAUAGGCAUUGGACAUAGGAGAUUCCUGUUCAUACCCCAGCUUUAACGGUGUUACACCGUUUAGACAAAUCAUUCUAACUCUCUAAAUCUCAAGAUUCUUAAAUAUUACAGGAAGUUCAUUUUAUUUAAUUCAGUAUAUUUACUGAGUUGCCACAUCAUUGUGGGCACAUUGUUAAAUGCAGGGGAUAGAGGUAUAAAUAGUGCACUGGCUUGCCUUCUAGGAGUUUACAUUCUAGGGACACACGAGCCAGCUCAAGAGCUGCAGAUUUUGAACAUUGUAUGCCUCUUAUGUAUGUCUACCAUUGUAUGUCAUUUGUCCUUCAGAGUGUGAGUUGGUUACCCAGCAGGCUGGAAUAUAAAAUCAUGUAGUAUUUAAUGACCACCACAGAGGCACUUAACAUUCCACAGCAAUAAUGCCUAUCUUUUGUUCCCUCUUUGGGUUUUUUAAACAAAAUUGUUGUGUGGGAGAACAUUUGAACUCAUGCUAAAUAUCUGCUCUAAAAGCUGUUCCGGUUGACUAGAUUCCUAGCCAGUAAUCUAUUGUCUGAGUUAGGUGGCUGUUGCAAGGCUUGUUAGCAUUAGUAAUGAGUCUGGAGGUGGCCAGUUAGUUAUUUUCUGUUGUUCUCUUAUCCCUGCCCUUUUCUACCUUUAAGCUUCUGAAGUACUAACCCUCCUAGGCAUGGUUUUUGUGCCAAUUAAAUGGCCACUAAUGGUCUAUUGGAUUUGGUAAUAUUUGGUUUCCUGAUUUUUUCAUGUAUUAAGAGCCAUAAAUAACACUCGUGAGCACUUUGUAUUUUUCAAAGGGCCUCUAUUAUGUCAUUUCCCUUAAAACCCUGCAGUUAGACAUUUUAUUUUAUAGGUAACAAAACAGAGACUCACAAAGACUAAGUUAACUUAGGCGACUCAUCUUAAAUUUGCCUCUCUGUAAAAUAAAAAUUAUCCUACCCACCUCAGGCCCCAUACCAUGAGUAUGAAUUAAACUCAUCCCAGUGAAGCAUUUAGAGCUCUUUAGAAUGAGUAUUUCAUUGGGAUUGGCUGUGUUUGUCCUUUUACUAGACGGUGAGAUCCUGGAGGGGAGAACUGGUCCUUUGCCAUCUUUGUGGUUUUAGCAGCAAGCAUCCUGCAUAGACACUCAACAAAUCCUCUCCACUGACUUCCGCAAAAGCUUUAAUUUACCAAAAGGGAUUUCUUUCGAGCUUACUUAUUUACAGUAAGUCCUAGAACAUCCGAAUUUGUUUCUAUGGUGCUCAGGCUUAGUUUUGAGGCAGUUAUAUAACAUCUUGUUGGGUUGGGGAUGGAGAGAUAUUAGGUCAAGUAUUAUACCUGGGGUGGGUUUAAACACAGACUGUAAAAUCUGGCCGAACAGAGAUUCUCAAUCAGAAGUGCACAGCAGGAUCGUGGGGUACCCCAUGGUACCCUGGACCCAGGUGUUUAAGAAGCACCUCAGGUGCUGAGGUCAUGCAUUCUCAAUCACAGAUCAAUAGGUGAGCUACAGGGUGGUUAAUGUGAAACUAUAGCAUGUACCUGUGUGUCUUAUGAGGAGCACAGCAGGACUCUUGCUGCCUGGGCUUUGACUUUGAUUAUCGUCCUCUUUAGUGUUAAAAAAGUGUACAUGAAGAAGAGAGACCUAAUUUCUGUACUACAGGCUGGGGACAGAAAAUAGACAUGGGGAGUGUCUGAGGCUAAGAUGACACAUUGUUUCCGUAACGUCUUCAUGCUCAUCUCCUUAUUAGCAUCCUUGCAUGCAGAGCAUGGUGGGAUUUUUUCCAGGAUCUAUGUCUAUAGUUCUAAUUUUAGUUUGCCCAUCUUUUCAGUUACUUUUGGAACAGUCUCUGUCUCCUGGUCUCUGGGAGUGUAGGACUCCCACCCAGGCAGACUGUGGCAGUUUGGGGCUUCGGUGCCACGGAUGGUGCCUUGGCAAAGUGCCAAAGGACACCUGUUGUCUCUCCACAGACAUUGUCUUUCUUUCCUUAGCACAAACUGCCUUGCAUUUUACCUGAAACUAAACCUACUGCCAGGAGUCAGAGAGGACAGAUCAUUGAAAGCAGGGCUUUAAACUCUGUGAAAGAAGUAAAAGGAAGCUGUUAUUCUGUGGUUAGGGUUUUGUUUCUCUUCUCUUUGUGGACUGGCCAUAAGCCUGUGAAGCAGCCCAAAGGGACUAGACUGCAGGAAAAAGAAUCCAGAAGCUUUCAGAGGCCAUUCAGAAGAUGACUAAACACAUCAAGCAUUCCCUUAACCAGCAGGCAGGAAGCAGCAGCAGUGCCAACCUGCCGAGGGUCCCUCUCUCCCUGUCCCAUCCAUCCCUACACUUGUCACUGGUGUGAAACAAGUUUUAUCAAACCCUCCAACACGGCUAACAUUCAAAGGGGGUGAAUGAGCCUCAACACCAGGCAAGUUAGGAAAUGCAUUCUCAGCUUUUGGAAACUGAAAAUCUAGAUACGUGUGACUGCAAAAAAAUGUCGGGAUAUCUUAGCCCUUAGUCUUGGUUGUUGGGCUUCCAGGCCCACAAAUGACAGAAUUGCACAGGAUUUAUCAUGUGAUCACUCUUAUUGUUAUAAUCUGGAUGGUUUAAAAUCAGAUUAUUUAGCAGUGUUCUCCAAAGGCUCUUCUUUCACUUCAAAAUAUUUCCAACGUUUCCAGCACAAUUUAAAUUUGCAUUUGGUUUACUUCUUUCUCUCUUCUGUAACUUCAGGGAGAAAUAUAUGUGUCAGAAGAAAGGUUUCCCUGUAAAUGUCACUUUAUUUGCAAGCAUACAGAUAAUUGAAAAUGAGAUGACAAGGGUAUGUUUUAUUUAGGGACUUUGCAUCAACAUCAUCCUAAAAAGCAAACUGAUAGUGCAUGCAAAUAUAGCAAACCCUCAAUAAUACCAUGGCAAAGGAAGCAGUCAAAGCAAUUUUAAAACAGGUAGUUGAUUGCUUUAUUUAAUAAGAAGCAUUUAUUGAAUAUAGACUACGUGUUAGAUUCUCUAAAGCCAAACUUUCAAACUAGGGUGUGCAUGCUGGUGGGAUUAUGGGAGUGUAUACUGGGGUGAUUCAGUGAGGCAUAGAAAACACAGUGUAUGCUCUGAUGAAAUAAAACUAAUAAGAGACAACACACUAGAAAACUGAGGCUCAGGUUCUAGUCCUUCUAUUCAGUGGUGGAGUCUGGGGGAAAACUCUCUUCUUUCUCCUCUCUGGAGCUUAGUAUCCCAAGCUGUUUUUUUAAAACUCUAUUUGCUUAUUGACUUCUACUUUCUUAUUACAAAGAAACUGUAUUUUUCCUUUACUUGCUCCUCUUUAGACUUGAUGCCUAUAGAAAGUAAAACAGGGUGGGUAUAAUCACCGCAUUAAUUGUUAAGUACCCACUGUAGGUUUGAGCUGGCUUUUUAAUGCUAUGAGUUAUGUGACUAAGGUUGUUGGGUCCAUAGUGGGGUCAAGCAAGGGGGCUGGGUCAAACAAUUAAUUUGGUUCCAAGUGAGAAAGCACUACAACUGGGGGGAAAUUGCUCUUUGGCUGUUCAUGGAUCCUUGACUGUGACCACAGUAGAGGCCCAUAUAUGUCUGAACCGAUGUGUGACUGCAGGGCCUUUUGGAGAAGACCCUGGCUUGGGGGCCUGGGAAGUUGGAUUUGAAUCCUGAGUUCUGCCCCAGCACAUGUGUGAGAUUAAAUCGGUCACGUCCUUUCUCUGCCAUUGGUUCUUCAUUUGUGAAACAAGGGUGACUAGAGGCAAGAUUCUUUUCGACCCUGCAAUUGUAAGGACCUGCAUUUGUGAUAUGUUGAUAUAGAACCUGCAGUGGAUUGUUCGUAAGGGUUUUUGGUUGGCGCCUCAGUCCCUCCUAUUUCUUUGGCUAACUCAGUGGCAUUUUUGCUCAGCAGAUUGUACAUUAUGUUUUUGUAACUUUUUUUUUACCCUCACACAUAUCUUCUUUAAAAUUAAGAUUAGUUUAUUUAUACAUUAGUCAUAUGUAAAGUUGAUUUGGUGAAUAUAGUUUUCUCUUCCUUCCCAACCCUAACCAGCAUGAACCCACUACAAAAGGAAAAGACAAACGGAAUAAUGCUAAGAGUUCAAGAGCCUAGUGUUUUACUAACAUUAUAGAAAGGAUAUUUGACAGUUCUCAAUCAUUAGCAAUGUAUUAUUCAAGGUAAUUGCACUCAAUCCCUCAUUGUCUUCAAGCAAUUUAAAAACCAAUAAUCACAUCUUUUGACGUUUGACUGGCUACUCAUCAUUUUAGAUAGGGGAAAUAUUUUUUUUGAUUUCCAGAUGAAAAUUAUCCAAAGUAUAAGAGUUUUAUGGUUGAUAAGAUGAAUUUCUGGAUUGUGCAAAAACAUAAAACUCAGUGAUGGGGUAAACUAUUUAACAACUAUUAACAUCUUUAUGAGCAUGAGUUACAAUUGGAAAUACUUGUGGUUUUGAUGAUAAUUACAGAAACGGUGAUGUGAGUGUAUGUAUUGAUUGCAAUCAUGUGAAGUUUUUGUGUUCACGAACAAAGAAUAGAUGGUAAUAUGCAAGACAUGACAAUAUUUAGGUAAUGGUGAUUGGAUUGUGAGUGAAUUCUUUUCCUUUUUCAAAUCUUUCAUCAAUAGUUUAUUAUAGUUUUUAAUAAAGCAUAGUACACUAGAUAUCAGAUGCAGUCAUAAAUGCUUAAAUCGAUCUACUUAAAGAGAACCCAAGCAAAUCUCUUCAUGCUUCAUGUCAUGGUUUCCUCAUAUGAAACACUGAAAGGACCCUGGAGGAGAUACCUGAGUCUUUUGAAAUAAUGCUUAUGUAUCUUCUACUAUGCACAAAACACUGUGCUUUAUAAAUAUUGACUCAUUUAACCCUUAUAACAAUCCAGUGAAACAGUCAGUAUUGUUAUUCCUAUUUCAGGGAGUGGAAAACCCAGGCAUAGAGACAUUAAGUAACUUGCCCAGACCACACAGCUAGUAAAUGGCAGUCUGGAUUCAGAGUCUGUGAGCUUAAAACCACUAGCAACCGUCUAAGGUAUACUUUUUUCAAGUCUGGUAAGUCAUUUAGUUACUGAGAACUAAGAUAGCUACUUACAUAUAUUUAAAAUUUGUUUUCCACUUAAUUAACCUUCAGAACGCUUGGUUUCUGCAGGCUCAGUGUCCCCCAAACCCUGGGUCAAUGAAAGCCAGGCUUGGGGAGACAUUAGCAGCUCCUCCCUGCUCUCAGGUGGGUUUGAGAAAGCUUGCUGCUCUCCAGUGCCUUAGGUCAGUUCCAAACCCUGGGGCUUAAGUGAGCAUGGAGUUGCAAUUUCCUUUUCUCAGCUCACCUUGAAUAGCUGUUCUGCCUAUCUGGGAAGCUCAUUUGAAUGUCAGAAAGAUUACAAAACUUGAAAUCACAUGCAUGACUAGCAACUUGUUAAUCCCUAUGACUUGUGUAAGAUAUGUCUGUAUCUUUACAUCCUCAUUUAUACAAUGGGUCUUUCAAGUUUAGUGGGACAAAUAAAGAGAAUCUAUAAGAAGAACCAAACAUAAGAUCAAUACUCACAACAGCUUCUGCUUUGGUGCUUAUUAUCUGACCUUUAGGCCUAUGACUUCUAUUCCUUCUGUGUGGCUGGGUUCUUGCCUUAAACUCCCCACCAUGACGGUAGCCCUUUUGCAUAGAGCUAGAUGCAAUGAUUUGUCUCUUUUGCACCACCACGUGAGAAAUUCCUGAUGCAUGGAAGUAUUCCUACCCGAUACUGCAACCUGCGCCCUUGUUUACCCUAGCUACCAUAUUCCUUCCCUUCCCUACCAUUUCCCCCCCUCCCUCCUUUGACACAGCUGUGAUUGGUCAGAACUGGUUUCAUUCCUUCACAUUCCAUCUACUACGGACUGCUCACCUUUGCUGUUCUCACUCAUUUACGCCUUCAUCAUUCCUGCUUCCAGUUCACUCAUUUUUCUCUGUUGCAACUACCAGGAUGCCAUGGGACACUGCUUAAAAUGAUAGUUUUUAAAGACAUACUGGUUUGUCACAUUAUGAAAAUUAGAGUAGUAACAUCAAUUAGUUCAUCUACUGAUCUCCUUGAUCAGAAUUUUACUAAUUUGUUCCCAUUAUCUGGCCUCAAAUGAAAUCCAGUUCCUUCAGAAGAGAAAAUAUGACUCUUGCGAUAGGGUUGUUAAUACUGUUGGUGAGUCUAGGAAACGUUCCACAGUUCAUGUCAGAAUAGCGAGGACAGCCUUCUGCCCAGGGUGCCCAGUCAGGGGUUUUCUGACCUAAGUGUGCACCAUGAUAACCCACAGGCUCACUGGCACACAUUUUUCUGGGUCUUGCUGCCAUACUUUCUAGUUCAGUGGGCCUGGGGUGGGCCCAGGCAUUUGCAUUUCUAACAAGUUCCCAGGGCUUCUGAUGCUGCAAGCCUAGGGAUCACAUUUAGAGAACCACGAGUGCAGACAAUCUAGUCCAAGGUUCUGUUGUACUUGGAUAUUCCAUCGAGACAUUCAUGUAUCUUUUGCUGAUUAUUGGGGAAUGUCAGAAUAAGGGAUCAUGGGGUAGCAUUUUUAUGAGGUGAGGGAAACCCACAGCUUACAAGAGCAUAAACAAGAUUAUAUCUAGAAAGUCACCUAGCAUUGCCCACAACCACACUGGUUAGUUAAUUAAGGAAUGAUCCAUGUUUGGAUAUAUGCAUUUACCCAUUUAUCUGCACCACGCACAUUGCUUGUCAGUGGGACUCAACAUGAAAAGUGAUAUAAUUUCUGACCUCAUGCAGACCUCACAGAUUAGUUUUGGAAGAUAAAAGCCUAGGAAAAGCUGACAGCUGGCAGUGCAUGUGAAAAUUUAGAUUAAAUUUUACAUUUACUGUCAUAUCUUCUUCGUGGAUAUCUGAAGAUAGGUGUUGUAGGCCAGGAGCCAAUGGGUGAGACAAGGUUUAUAUCCUCUACUGUUAUACCAGUUAUAGAUGUAUAAUCUGUGGGAAUACAGAAAAAAGGAGUGGGCAUUUGAGCCCGGUUUGCAGAAAGGAUGGGACUGAGCCAUUGGAAAAGUAUCCCAGGCUGAUAGCAUAGUAUAAGCAAAGGUAAAAGAGUUCUUAAUAUAUAUAUAUAUAUUAAGCAACUAGGAAAAAAUAAAGGAUUGGCUAAUUCAUUCAUCUAACCCGUAUUUGUUCUGCUGCCCACUGUUCUCGGUGCUGAAUAGGGCAGUGACAAGGUAAAGAACCUGCCCUCAUGAAGCAGAUAGGGUGGAGGACAGGGUACAGUGGAUAAUAAAUCAUCAAAGAAAAACUGGGGGGGGAAUUGGGGAGACCCAUUACAAAUUAUACAGUGCGGGUGAUAAACUAGAUUUACAAAAUAUUAACUAACAUAAUUGUCUUGUACAAAUUAGUUUUUCAGAGUUUUUAGAAUGCAAUUCUUCUUGCAAAUCUUCCAUGAUUGCCUAGGUUUUUAACAAAAUGUCGGCUAUAGGAAGCAAGGCAUGUCUGGAGCUCACUGCCAUGGCCAGAGGGUGUGGUCCCGAGUUUCAUCAGGUGACCUGCCAACCUUGCUGCUGACACACGCCCUUUCCUUAAUGGACCAGUGCAUUUCAUUUCUGGUCACUUCUGGCUCUCAGUUCCCCCAAAUUUUUACAUUAACACUUGAUUGGCAUUUUAGGGAAAAGGUCCAAAGACUCUUUUUGAAAUGUGUUUGUCUCAAAAAUUGCUCCCUGAAGAUCAGUACAUUAUUAUCAAGUCUCAGAAUUAUAAUGAAAGGCAAAACUAUACAAGUACUAAUACACAUGGUUGUUGUAACUAUUUAUGUGAAGGUCCCUCUUCUGUAUUUAAGUAAAUGAAAACCCAUGUACGAAAUAAAUUUGAUUCGACUUUACCAUCACUCUUUCAAUGAUAUGUUUUGAUGUCCUGGCUCUUUUUCUUUAGAGAACAUAGAAAAAUUAAAAAUAGCAGUUUCUGAACCAAAUUCUGGUUUUGAUUUUUUGUCUGUCUAUUUCUAGCUGAGGAUAUUGGGCAAGGUUACUGAUGUCCUUAAUCCUAGAUUUUUUUCAUCUAUAUAAUGGAGAUAACACUAGUCUCUAUUCAUAGAGUUGUUUUGAAGAUUAAGUGAGAUAAUACAUUAAAAUGCUUACCACACUGCCCGGCAUAUAUUAAGCACUCAGGGAAAUGUAGCGAUCAGUUAAGUAUCUCAAAACUGCCCUUAUGACCUUUGGUACAAAAUCAUAGCCACAGGCUUUUGCUGAGUCUGUGGGAUUCAGGUUUACUUAACUGUUUAAAUGAAUUCCAAGCAUAAUACUUUCCAUUCUGAGCUUUUAGUGGUAACUGAACAUAGAGCUGUAAAAUACAGUAACCUCACAAAGACAUUGUUUUGGGAUCAAGUCUUGAAACUGUUCCAGCAAGACAUUGUCAACUGGACCGCCUGAAUCAAUGGUUACAAUCUAGAGCACCACCUUGUGUAGAGACGGCCUGGGCCUGGCUGGUGAAAGAUUUAUGGAGAAGAUUUUUAAAUGAAGGUCAGCAGAUGAUUUUCAUCUAAUAACCAUAAGGAGCAGUUAGACAGAUGGCCAGGACAGCUUUGUCUUUUCUCUGAACAACCUCCUUUGUUCUCAACUGACCGUCAAAUCAGGUCUCAGAAAUGUUUCUGGAGCAAGACAGGUGCAAAGACAAUUCCUCAUGAAUAAAAUUUGAGGUGGUUGGCUCCUUUCCUUUUUCUUUUUUGACAUGUUAUUUUUGUCACAUAGAAAGUGUAUUAUCAAAGUUCCGUGUCCUUUUUCAACGUUUUUUCUUUCCAGAGAUAAACACUUUCAAUUCUUUUUGAUUUUUACCUCCAUGUUCUAAACAAUAUUCUCUUCUUACUGCCUCUCCCCUUCUUACCUCCAUUUUUCACGCCCCACCUUGGAAAAUGGAGUUUUCGCCUCUCUCUCUCUCGUAUUCCGGUUCUCACCACGGCAGGCUUCCUUUCCAUCCCACUGUCUUCCCAGGGCGCUUACAGUGUUUAGCUUUAUUUUAUUUUUUGUCAGCAUGCAGUCAUUACAUUAUUUUAACUAGGUAGGUACUUUUUAUGACUAAGCCAAGUUAAACUAUGAUUAUUUUUGCUUUCCUCUUAAGAUUUUGUUUUUUUCUGUGGUUGAUAGUUAUCUUGUUGUUUUGUUUGCUCAGCUUUCUACAUACUUUUCAUUAUUAACUCCAAGUCUCUGCCAGUGGUGUGAGCGUCGUCUCAAGACAUUCAGAUACACAGAUUA